CCUCCCACCCGUGUUUAUUUUACCUUGUUGCUUCGGCGGGCCCGCCUUAACUGGCCGCCGGGGGGCUUACGCCCCCGGGCCCGCGCCCGCCGAAGACACCCUCGAACUCUGUCUGAAGAUUGUAGUCUGAGUGAAAAUAUAAAUUAUUUAAAACUUUCAACAACGGAUCUCUUGGUUCCGGCAUCGAUGAAGAACGCAGCGAAAUGCGAUACGUAAUGUGAAUUGCAAAUUCAGUGAAUCAUCGAGUCUUUGAACGCACAUUGCGCCCCCUGGUAUUCCGGGGGGCAUGCCUGUCCGAGCGUCAUUGCUGCCCUCAAGCACGGCUUGUGUGUUGGGCCCCGUCCUCCGAUCCCGGGGGACGGGCCCGAAAGGCAGCGGCGGCACCGCGUCCGGUCCUCGAGCGUAUGGGGCUUUGUCACCCGCUCUGUAGGCCCGGCCGGCGCUUGCCGAUCAACCCAAAUUUUUAUCCAGGUUGACCUCGGAUCAGGUAGGGAUACCCGCUGAACUUAAGCAUAUCA
rnacentral:rRNA from 1 species